CGAAGGGUAGUUUAAUUUAGAAUGCUGGCUUUGGGAGCCAGUGGUCGGGGUUAAAAUCCCUUCUCUUCGA
rnacentral:tRNA from 1 species